CCUACGGGAGGCAGCAGUGAGGAAUAUUGGUCAAUGGGCGCGAGCCUGAACCAGCCAAGUAGCGUGAAGGAUGACUGCCCUACGGGUUGUAAACUUCUUUUCUCAGGGACGAAGAAAGUGACGGUACCUGAGGCCUAAGCCACGGCUAACUACGUGCCAGCAGCCGCGGUAAUACGUAGGUGGCAAGCGUUAUCCGGAUUUAUUGGGUGUAAUGGGCGUGUAGGCGGGAGCGAAAGUCAGAUGUGAAAACUAGGGGCUCAACCCUGAGCCUGCAUUUGAUACUGUGUUUCUUGAGUGCGGGAGAGGCAAUCGGAAGUCCGUGUGUAGCGGUGAAAUGCGUAGAUAUACGGAGGAACACCAGUGGCGAAGGCGGCCUGCUGGACAUUAACUGACGCUGAGGCGCGAAAGCGUGGGGAGCAAACAGGAUUAGAUACCCCAGUAGUC
rnacentral:rRNA from 1 species